rnacentral:rRNA from 1 species
AUCGAACGCUGGCGGCAGGCCUAACACAUGCAAGUCGAGCGAGAGGCGGACGGGUGGGGAGAGUCUGGGAAACUGCUCGAUGGAGGGGGAGAUCUACUGGAAACCGUAGAUAAUACCGCACACCAUCAGGUCUGCCCAGAUGGGAUUGGCUAGUAGGUGGGGUAACGGGUCACUUGGGCGACGAUCCGUAGCUGGUCUGAGAGGAUGGCCAGCCACACUGGAACGGAGACACGGUCCUGACUCCUACGUGAGGGCGCAAAGGGGUAUAGUGCACAAUGGGGGCGAGCCUUGCGCAGCCGUGCCACGUGUGUGAAGGAGGCCUUCGGGUGGUGAAGCACUUUCAGCGGGGAGGCGUUACUCGCAGAAGAAGCACCGGCUAACUCCGUGCCAGCAGCCGCGGUAAUAC